ACCUACGGGGCGCAGCAGUGGGGAAUAUUGGGAAAUGGAGGAAACUCUUACCCAGCAAUGCCGCGUGAAUGAAGAAGGUCUUCGGAUUGUAAAGUUCUUUAAUUGGGGACGAAAAAAAUGACGGUACCCAAGGAAUAAGCCCCGACAAACUACGUGCCAGAAGCCGCGGUAAUACGUAGGGGGCAAGGGUUGUUCGGAAUGACUGGGGGUAAAGGGGGCGUAGGCGGGGUAGCAA
rnacentral:rRNA from 1 species